AAGAUGCUCUGUUCAGUUCUGUUUAACUUAAUUUAACCAGGAUAAUCCACACAGUAACAAUUGUCACUAAUCUCUAGGUCUAGGGAGUACUUGGAGAACAGAAACGGUUCCCUCUGCAGCAGAAGUUGUGCCCAGCUGCAGUGAUGCACCUCCUCCACCAGCAUAAAAAAAAGAAAGGCAGAGGAUGUUGAGGCCUGGAAGAGGUUGAGGGAGCUACUCCACACUACAAAUCAGCCGGGCUAGACAAUCUAGACCCUCUCUUUCUAAAAUUAUUAGCCGAAAGUGUUGCAACCCCUAUUACUAGCCUGUUCAACCUCUCUUUCUUAUCGUCUGAGAUCCCCAAAGAUUAGAACGGUGCCGCGGUCAUCGCCCUCUUCAAAGGGGGAGACACUCUAGACCCAAACUGCUACAGACCUAUAUCUAUCCUACCCUGCCUUUCUAAGGUCUUUGAAAGCAAAGUUAACAAACAGAUCACCGACAAAUUUCAAAUCCCACCGCUACAAUCUGGUUUCCGAGCUGGUCAUGGAUGCACCUCAGCCACGCUCAAGGUCCUGAAAGUUAUCAUAACCGCCAUCGAUAAGAGACAUUACUGUGCAGGUGUAUUCAUCAACCUGGCCAAGGCUUUUGACUCUGUCAAUCACCACAUUCUUAUCGGCAGACUCAACAGUCUUGGUUUCUCUAAUGACUGCCUCGCCUGGUUCACCAACUACUUCUCAGACAGAGUUCAGUGUGUCAAAUCGGAGGGCCUGUUGUCCGGACCUCUGGCAGUCUCUAUGGGGGUGCCACAGGGUUCAAUUCUCGGGCCGACUCUCUUCUCUGUAUAGAUCAAUGAUGUCGCUCUUGCUGCUGGUGAUUCUCUGAUCCACCUCUACGCAGACAACACCAUUUUGUAUACUUCUAGCCCUUCUUUGGACACUGUGUUAACUAACCUCCAGACGAGCUUCAAUGCCAUACAACUUUCUUUCUGUGGCCUCCAACUGCUCUUAAAUGCAAGUAAAUCUAAAUGCAUGCUCUUCAACCGAUCGCUGCCCACACCUGCGCGCCCGUCCAGCAUCACCACUCUGGACGGUUCUGACUUAGAAUAUGUGGACAACAACAAAUACCUAGGUGUAUGGUUAGACUGUAAACUUUCCUUCCAGACUCACAUUAAGCAUCUCCAAUCCAAAAUUAAAUCUAGAAUCGGCUUCCUAUUUCGCAAUAAAGCAUCCUUCACUCAUGCUGCCAAACAUACCCUCGUAAAACUGAUUAUCCUACCGAUCCUUGACCUCGGCGAUGUAAUUUACAAAAUAGCCUCCAACACUCUACUCAGCAAAUUGGAUGCAGUCUAUCACAGUGCCAUCCGUUUUGUCACCAAAGCCUCAUAUACUACCCACCACUGCGACCUGUAUGCUCUCGUUGGCUGGCCCUCACUUCUUAUUCGUCGCCAAACCCACUGGCUCCAGGUCAUCUAUAAGUCUUUGCUAGGUAAAGCCCUGCCUUAUCUCAGCUCACUGGUCACCAUAGCAGCACCCACCCGUAGCACGCGCUCCAGCAGGUAUAUUUCACUGGUCACUCCUGUCACGUUCUGACCAUAGUUCUUGUGUGUUUUACUUGUUUUAGUGUUGGUCAGGACGUGAGCUGGGUGGGCAUUCUAUGUUGUGUGUCUAGUUUGUCUGUUUCUAUGUUUGGCCUAAUAUGGUUCUCAAUCAGAGGCAGGUGUUUUGUGUUGUCUCUGAUUGGGAAUCAUAUUUAGGUGGCUUGUUUUGUGUUGGGAUUUGGUGGGUGAUUCUGUCACGUCUGUCUUCCUCUUCUUCCUCUGAAGAAGUGUAACAAGGAUCGGACCAAUACGCAGCGUGAUAGGUAUCCAUGUUUUAAUAUAGAAUACUGAACUAUGAACACCAAUACAAAACAAUAAACGGGAACAAACCGUAACAGUCCCGUGUGGCACAAACACUGACACAGGAAACAAUCACCCACAAAAUACCCAAAGAACAUGGCUGCCUAAAUAUGGUUCCCAAUCAGAGACAACAAUAAACACCUGCCUCUAAUUGAGAACCAAUCUAGGCAACCAUAGACUUACAUAAACACCUAUAAUGAACACAACCCCAUAACUCUACAAAAAAAACCUAGACAGUACAAACACCCUAGACGAGACAAAAACAAACAAACCACCCUCGUCACACCCUGACCUAACCAAAAUAAUAAAGAGAACAAAGAUAACUAAGGCCAGGGCGUGACAACUCCCAAAGCCAAUUCCUCCUUUGGCCGCCUCUCCUUCCAGUUCUCUGCUGCCAAUGACUGGAACGAAUUGCAAAAAUCACUGAAGCUGGAGACUCAUAUCUCCCUCACUAACUUUAAGCACCAGCUGGCAGAGCAGCUCACAGAUCACUGCACCUGUACAUAACCCAUCUGUAAAUAGCCCAUCCAACUACCUCAUUCUCCAUACUGUUAUUUAUUUUACUUAUUUUACUCCUUUGCACCCCAGUACCCCAGUAUCUCUACUUGCACACUGAUCUUCUGCACAUCUAUCACUCCAGUGUUUAAUUGCUAUAUUGUAAUUAUUUCACCACUAUGGCCUAUUUAUUGCCUUACCUCCCUUAUCCUACCUCAUUUUCACACACUGUAUAUAGACUUUUUCUAUUGUGUUAUUGACUGCAUGUUUGUUUAUUCUAUGUGUAACUCUGUGUUGUUGUUUGUGUCACACUGCUUUGCUUUAUCUUGGCCAGGUCGCAGUUGUAAAUGAGAACUUGUUCUCAACUAGCCUAUCUGGUUAAAUAAAGGUGAAAUAAAAAAUAAAAAAACAUGCCUGCAGUGGAGCUGGAAUGUCCUCCACCCAAUGCCAUCUGCAGUGUGUGUAGAGUUUUGGAGGAGGCUGAGCUUUGGCGCUGUGGGGAUUGUGGCUCAGAUAAAUAUUCCUGUGCCUCCUGUGCUGUGUGAACACACAGCACUCCAAACAUUGUACACCAGUUGGAGUUAUGGAAGGUAAUGUAUUUUAUGUUAUGUCAACAAACCUGUCAACUUAUGGCUUAAAAAAUUGCUUCCCAGUCCAAAAUGUUGAUCCUGUACAUACAGUUCAGUUUCUAUAAAAGUUAUAGUUCCCUGCAGCGAUAAGGUAAAUGUGGCUAAAUCUGUCAUGCCAAGCACAGAGUUGAUUUGGAGUUUUCUAACAACUUGUGUAAUGAAAUAUCCCCCUGAUGGUGUAGUUUCAAAUCUGCAGCUACUGUAGUCUGUUCUUCAACAAGUUUGUGUCUGUCUGUCUUAGUCAGGGCAGUUCGUCCCAUGUGUCCCGGUGGGCCUACAAUGGGAGUGGAAGAGACAAGGUGACCAUGACUGUCAAAGCCAGUACAACCGUCUUUUGACAGUUGUUGACGUUAGAGGACGAGCUCAUGACGUCUGGCUAAGGCUGUGAGCUGGAACCUGUCACCCUGAUCUGCCACAGACUCUACCUUUCCACCCCCCGAGAGACUGUCAGGAAGUUGGUGCCACUGACCUCGGACAGAACAAAGUGUCCUCUCUGUCCACAGGGGUGGGUGGGGAUGCGCUGUGAUCCAAACCCAAAACCCAGAAACUGGACAUAACUGGUGUGUUUAGGAUGGCGUGCAGGCACGAGGAUCCGCUGAAGUUCCUGAACCUGAAGAGAGGAGAGAA